GAUGAACGCUAGCUACAGGCUUAACACAUGCAAGUCGAGGGGAAACGACAUCGAAAGCUUGCUUUUGAUGGGCGUCGACCGGCGCACGGGUGAGUAACGCGUAUCCAACCUGCCCACCACUUGGGGAUAACCUUGCGAAAGUAAGACUAAUACCCAAUGAUGUCCCACGAAGGCAUCCGAAUGGGAUUAAAGGUUUAUCGGUGAUGGAUGGGGAUGCGUCUGAUUAGCUUGUUGGCGGGGUAACGGCCCACCAAGGCGACGAUCAGUAGGGGUUCUGAGAGGAAGGUCCCCCACAUUGGAACUGAGACACGGUCCAAAACUCCUACGGGAGGCAGCAGUGAGGAAUAUUGGUCAAUGGACGAGAGUCUGAACCAGCCAAGUAGCGUGCAGGAAGACGGCCCUAUGGGUUGUAAACUGCUUUUAUAAGGGAAUAAAGUUAGUCUCGUGAGACUUUUUGCAUGUACCUUAUGAAUAAGGACCGGCUAAUUCCGUG
rnacentral:rRNA from 1 species